ACAAUUAAUUCAAAACUUCAUUACAUUAAUUAAUUUACUACACUGUUCUGAAACACUUCGAUCAGAAAUCCCAAUCGUCCUUAUCUGAAACUUGAUCUUCAUCGCGGAAGACCUCUAGGCUCUAGCAGAAUCAUAUGACGGCAGGCGGUGGCAGCGGUGGUGGUGGUGGUGCCGGUGGAGUCACCUCCGGCAAAAAACGACAACGUUCUGGUAGCUAUAGUCGACUUUCCUCUACUGUAGGGAUCAUCGACUCUUCUCGUCCUGAUAAUACCCUGACGGAACGCACACAGAAGACAUCAGGUAUUCGCCGCACAGCUUCUCAAGCGUUUAUUGCACCGUCGUCCUCCGCUGCUGUUAGCCGCGGAUUCAACGAUUCAGCCACGGCUGACGUCGUGCUUCGUCUCUUUGUCGAUCAAUUGCCGCUGUUCGAUACUGAUGACUCCGAAUCCAUUUCAGCCGUCGAUUCUGAUCAAUCCGAUGUCCAGAUCUAUCUCCAUUCCGAUGUUCUCUGCCGUUCUAAGUACUUCGCUACUCUCUUAUCCGACCGCUGGCAAAAGGAAUCAAACGACGGUGAUUCCGGGAAUUCUUUAAGGAUGUUCCGACUGAAUCUCGGCGUUCCCGCUACUCCUGGAUCAAUCGAUCAUCAUUUGGCUGUUCUUCAGCUUCUAUAUACCAAUGACUUCUCCACAACUAUCCACAAUGUUUCGGUAGCGUUGUGUUUACUUCCGGUGGCUUUGGAAUUAAUAUUCGAAGAUUGCAUUAAGGCUUGUGUUCGGUUCCUUGAGGCCGUACCAUGGACCGAAGAUGAAGAAAGGAAAAUACUCAGUAUAGUUCCCUUGCUAGGCAAGGAGGAGUCUCAAGAGCUUCUCGCUAGGGUCUCAAUUGACAAAAUUGAUACGUCCGAACAAAUGCUUCAUGGAUUGAUAUUAUCAGCACUUCAUAACCAUCCUAACACGGCAUUCGCUAAGGCAUUUGUAGCUAAGCUGUUGAGGGACUUUUCGUCCAAAGAGGCAGCAAAGAGAGUGUUGGACCGUGCCUUUCAGAGUAGCUUGAAGAUUGUGAAGGAGUCGUUGGAGGAGUACUCAAGUCCUGACUUUAGAGGUGAUCACAAUGAGAUUGAGGCAAUUCAGAGGCUGAAUUUGCAUACUGCAAUGACAAAUGGGAGGCAUUUGGUGUGGUUGGUGGAAAGGAUGAUUGAACUGAGAGUGGCCGAUACAGCUGUACAGGAGUGGAGCAAUCAGGCCGCAUUUACUGCUGAUUUGCUGAGGGCUCUCCGUGAUGAUGCAUGGAGGAACAUCGUUCCAGGGCUUCCUGCAGUUGUGCUUCGAUGCACUUGCAAGCUUUCUAAUGCAGUCGCCACGGGGACUAUCUUGGCCACCAGACAGUAUUCAACCAUGUCUCAUGGAUCUUUAUCCAAAUGGGUAUUGGCUUUUACAUGUUCUGGGUUAUAUCUUGUGUGUGUUAGCCUUGUGCUGUUCUUUGACAAGCGAGCUACUUCAGUAAGUUUUUGAUCUUCUUGGACUUGGUGUGAUGCUUCGUCAAAGAAACUGCAAGUUAUGGUAUCAUAUAACUGUUAUCAUGAGUGCUCUGCAGAUGUUGGAUGCUGUUAGAUGCUCGCUGUAAUACAUAUGUGAAAUCUCGAUACCCAUGAAUUUUUAAUAACGUUACACUUACAGAACCAGCUUAGUUUUUCUUUGCGAGGCUGGUUUCUUUAUUUGUAUAGUUUGCUGGUACUGUUGCUUACUCUUGCACUAUAGAAGAGUACAAGCACAAGCAGUGGAAGUUUCACAUGUUACUUGAAACAAAUGGGCAGCAUAGAACCUUCUGUUUGUUUGUGGUUAUAGGUCUAAAUGGAUGUACCACAUGAUUUAUGUUUCUAGUGUACAUUCAGCCCCCCAAAAAUGUAUGAAGAGAAGAAAAAAGGAGGAGAUACCGCCUUUUCAGGAACAUCUAAAUAGUGUUGAUUGUUCCCAAGAAAUGGUUUGGAUCUGGACAAGAUUUUUUCCUUAUUUUGUACCUUGUUUUGUUUGUCAUUGUUGAAAUGAGUGAUCUGUUAUAAAGGUAAACUGAGUCGAAACCAGAAACAUGGACAUUCUACAGUAACAGCAGCAUUUUUACUUUUGCUGGUUGUGUCUGUUCUGGUGGUAUCAUCUUCCAAGUUAAUGUUGUGCUCAACUGAUAAAUCAUAAACGGUGAUGCAAUUUUUUCACAA